rnacentral:misc_RNA from 1 species
GAAAUGCGAUAAGUAAUGUGAAUUGCAGAAUUCAGUGAAUCAUCGAAUCUUUGAACGCACCUUGCGCUCCUUGAUAUUCCUUGGAGCAUGCCUGUUUGAGUAUCAUGAAAUCUUCAAAGUAAAUCUUUUGUUAACUCAAUUGGUUUCUACUUUGGUAUUGGAGGUCUUUGCAGCUUCACACCUGCUCCUCUUUGUUCAUUAGCUGGAUCUCAGUGUUAUGCUUGGUUCCACUCGGCGUGAUAAGUUAUCUAUCGCUGAGGACACUGUAUAAGGUGGCCAAGGUAAAUGCAGAUGAACCGCUUCUAAUAGUCCAUUGACUUGGACAAUACUUUUAUGAUCUGAUCUCAAAUCAGGUAGGACUACCCGCUGAACUUAAGC